GCAUGGGGUGAGUAGAAGGCGUAGAAAGUAGAAACAGUGAAUCUGGCUAGUUUGUAUAUAUACUAUUCUAAUCUCUUAGUAGCUUUCUUUGGUGAUAAAUGCAUCGUAAGAUUAUGUUUUAUUGUAUAUCUAUAGUUUGAUAUUUAGGAGACAGAUAUACCUGUUCUCUGCAUUGAUGUGUUGCAGAUUUGAGCUUUAUGGUCAUCUUUUU
rnacentral:misc_RNA from 1 species